rnacentral:rRNA from 1 species
UGGAAGUAAAAAACGUAACAAGGUUUCCGUAGGUGAACCUGCGGAAGGAUCAUUACUGUGAUUUAGUACUACACUGCGUGAGCGGAACGAAAACAAAAACACCUAAAAUGUGGAAUAUAGCAUAUAGUCGACAAGAGAAAUCUACGAAAAACAAACAAAACUUUCAACAACGGAUCUCUUGGUUCUCGCAUCGAUGAAGAGCGCAGCGAAAUGCGAUACCUAGUGUGAAUUGCAGCCAUCGUGAAUCAUCGAGUUCUUGAACGCACAUUGCGCCCCUCGGCAUUCCGGGGGGCAUGCCUGUUUGAGCGUCGUUUCCAUCUUGCGCGUGCGCAGAGUUGGGGGAGCGGAGCGGACGACGUGUAAAGAGCGUCGGAGCUGCGACUCGCCUGAAAGGGAGCGAAGCUGGCCGAGCGAACUAGACUUUUUUUCAGGGACGCUUGGCGGCCGAGAGCGAGUGUUGCGAGACAACAAAAAGCUCGACCUCAAAUCAGGUAGGAAUACCCGCUGAACUUAAGCAUAUCAAAAUCCGGGAGGAA